rnacentral:tRNA from 1 species
GCCUGGUUGGCUCAGUUGGAAGAGCACAUGACUCUUAAUCUCUGGGUUGUGAGUUCAAGCCCCACAUUGGAUG